CACCCAGACAGAUGGACCAUUUUAUUUCUGGAUCGACGACGACCGGCCAUUUCGCUAUAACCACACACGGACUCUUUAUAACCACGAUAAAUAUUAUCAUAUUAUUAUAACAGUUGCCGUCACGAAAAUCUCGGUGUACCGCAAGAAAUCAUAAUAUUAACACGUUCGCACGCACACCGGUUUUUAACGAUGUAUAAUGUUAUAAUAACAUUAUGUAGAAACAAUUCGUCACGUAGGUAACUAAUAACUAUACCUAUAAGGUUUUUGGUUUUUAGUUAGCGGGAAUCGCACGUUGAUCUCGCGAACAUGUUGAUGGAUGUUGAUUUUGACGAUGAUACGCCGAAUCGAUGCACCACACUCGUCUACUAUGCGUGGAAGAUAUUCACGUGCUUGUUCCUGCACGUGUUACUUGUCACCAUGGUUGUGCUGUAUUGUUUGCUCGGAGCCUUUGCUUUCGAACGUCUCGAAUCAGCUAACGAAAUUGAAGUGAAGAAUAGUAUUCGUGUCAUGAGGAUGAAUGUAACUACGGAUCUUUGGAAGUACACCAAAAAUUCAUUGGUGCUCCAACAAGAUAAUUUUACUACAAACGUAACAGCCCGGUUGCAGAAAUUUGAAGAUGAUUUGAUAUACGCUAUUAAACGUAAAGGUUGGGAUGGCGAAGAAGACACUAAAAUACAACAAUGGACCUUCACUGGGGCUUUAUUUUACUCAAUAAUUGUUAUCACAACUAUAGGUUACGGUCAUAUUGCUCCGAAAACCCUAAACGGAAAAAUAGCCACCAUAUUUUACGCGAUCGUCGGUAUACCGCUGAUGCUCCUGUGCCUGUCCAAUAUCGGCGACAUAAUGGCGCAUUCCUUCAGGUUCCUCUACUGGAAAGUGUGUUGCUACACGUGCACCAGGCGGCAGAGACGAGUACAGUCCCUAAGGAGGUCCCGCAGUCAAAGGUCCACUACAAGAUCACACGGCGGUUCCAGAACCACGUCACUAAGGAGAACGGGUCGAAUAUCACAGAGAUCCGCAGAUAGCGCUCUUGGAAUGUCGGAUUGUUACACUAGAUCUUCUUAUUCGGACACUGAAUGCAGGUAUUACGAUAAAAUGGAAAGAGAAUAUGCCAUGUUCGGGGGCGGGAUGCCUGUUAAAUCUCCUAAUCGAUAUUCACAGCAAUCCAGGUACUCCGACACCGUACCGUUACGAAGACACUCGCCGGCUAUUAAGCCUAGAUCGACCAGUCAAAACAGUGGUCACCGAAAUAAUGCUAACCAUUAUUACCAUGGACGAUAUCGAGUACAAGAUCCAAGUUAUUCUGACGGUGAUCAACUAGAUGGACCAGAACUGCAGCAAGUGCCAUCAAUUUUAUUUAACAAAUAUGCACUGGACAGGGAAGAAUCUAGAAGAAUUCAUCCGAAGCAAAGCCACGAGAUCCGCCGGAACAUCCGGGGUCACUCGGCAGCGCCGAAUUUAGCAACGGAAACGCCGUCGGGCACGUUGCGGACGAACGGCCGAAGCAAAACACCUCAGCAUCUGGUCGUGGACAUGCUGCCAAUGGACCAUCCCGACCAAGAUUACUACCCGAAACCGAAAUUCCGUUCGAGACAUCGGAAUUCCAAUCAGAGUAAGUCACGAGAAGAAUUCUUGGGCGGCGGUGGCUGUGGCGGCGGCGGAGGUGGUAAGGGCAAACGUUUGGAGGUGAUGGCGCCCAGCCCGCGAAUCAUGUCGCCGCUGGGUUUCGCCGUGAACAGGCAGUACCCCCGGCGGUCGACCCGGUACAGCGACUACUACGACGACACUGAGCCGUGCGAGUUCGACGACAACAACCCGGACCACAUCAAGCCGGUGCCCAUAUGGCUGUGCGUGCUGCUGGUGGUCAGCUACAUAAUCAUGGGCGCGUUCCUGUUCAAGAGCUGGGAAAACUGGGAAUUCCCGGACUCCGCGUACUUCUGCUUCAUAACGCUCACCACCAUCGGGUUCGGCGACUUCGUGCCCGCCCAGCGGGUGAUGAACAAGGGCGACGACACCAAGCUGCGCAUAUGGUUCUGCUCGCUGUACCUGCUGUUCGGCAUCGCCCUGUUGGCCAUGAGCUUUAACCUCGUCCAGGAGGAGGUCAUCAGCAACGUCAAGACCGUGGCCCGGCACCUGGGCAUCAUCAAGGACGAGGACGAAGAGGAGUCCGAGUGACGACGCUCGGCACUUGUUAAAUAAUAUAACUUAAUAAUAAUAUAUAAUGUUAUCAUGUGCUUAGGUCUUCGAGAAUAAUAAUAAUAUAUUGCAUAAUAUAUAUAGAUUACUGCAGGUACCUAUGAAUCGCGAACGUCUUGUUGUGACUUUCGCUUGAACAUUGUUUUAUAUAAUAUUAUGCUAUAUUAUUAUGAUAUUAUAAUUACUGCGUUCGGGUCUAUUUAUAGGUUAACCGUCAACCAUCUGCGCCCGUCUUGGAUAUUUUACCUGUUGUAGAAUAUGGAAAGUGCCUUCCAAGUAUAUUAUAUUAUACCAAUAGUAAGUUAUCUGUUUAAUUUAUUUAUUUUUCUUUUACAAACGUCUAGAUGUCUACUAAGUACUAAUAUUAGGUUAUUGAAUGAAUAUUACAUUUCAUUUUUAGAUAGGUAUUUGUGCUCGUAAUUUGUACUAUGAUUUUUGUAUUUUAUUUUGUCAUUCUAGUCUAAAAACAUCAGAAAGCAAAUGUUCUACGACAAUUAAUAUGUUUUUUGUAUAACAUUUUUAUAAUUGCAUUUAUUAUGUUUCGAAUUAAUUUUAGUUUACUAAUCAUAAUAAUAAGUUUAAUUAAAAAUAUUUUUAAUUGUGAAAGACUAAAGACAUUCAAAAUAAUUUGUAAUUGAAAUUUAUACAAUUAAGAAAACUGAUUGUAACUUUGUUAGAUUGCAUAAAAUAUAUUAUAUAUAAUAUUUCUUAAAUAGCUUAAUAUCUACAAGGGACAGCUGUUCGGUCAAUUUAUAAUAGUCCUCAACAAUCUUAAACGUUUAUUUCAGUUUUUUUUUUUAUUAAAUGUUUAUAAGUUGUUUCAAUAUCAUUGCACCCUCAAAAUGUCGACAUUAUUGUUUUUAUGAAUGACUUAAAAUAAAUAAAUUUUAUUUUCAAGUGAACUUUGCUGACUAGUUUAGAAUAAGAUACUUUUAUGAAUAAUUGAAUGUUAAAUAGAUCAUACUGACGAAAUA